rnacentral:rRNA from 1 species
GUGUUAUCCGGAAUUAUUGGGCGUAAAGCGUCUGUAGGUUGCCUAACAAGUCUGUUGUUAAAGGUUAAAGCUUAACUUUAAAACUGCAGCAGAAACUGCUAGGCUUGAGUACAGUUGAAGUAGAGGGAAUUUCCAGUGAAGCGGUGAAAUGCGUAGAUAUUGGAAGGAACACCAAUGGCGAAAGCACUCUACUAGACUUUUACUGACACUCAGAGACGAAAGCUAGGGUAGCAAAUGGGAUUAGAUACCCCAGUAGUCCUAGCCGUAAACGAUGGAUACUAAACAUUGCGUGCAUCGAUCCGCGUGGUGUUAUAGCAAACGCGUUAAGUAUCCCGCCUGGGGAGUAUGCUCGCAAGGGUGAAACUCAAAGGAAUUGACGGGGGCCCGCACAAGCGGUGGAGCAUGUGGUUUAAUUUGAUGCAACGCGAAGAACCUUACCAGGGUUUGACAUGGUGUUAAUUCUUUGAAAAAAGAAGUACCGUUCGCGGUAGACACACACAGGUGGUGCAUGGCUGUCGUCAGCUCGUGUCGUGGGAUGUUGGGUUAAGUCCCGCAACGGGCGCAACCCUUGUUUUUAGUUACAAGUAAUCUAAAAAGACUAUCGGUUAUAAACCGGAGGAAGGUGGGGACGACGUCAAGUCAGCAUGCCCCUUAUACCCUGGGCUACACACGUGCUACAUUGGGUAGGACAAUGAGACGCCAAACCGUGAGGUCGAGCUAAUCUACAAACCUACUCUAAGUUCGGAUUGGAGGCUGCAACUCGCC